UACGGAGGGUGCGAGCGUUGUCCGGAAUCACUGGGCGUAAAGGGCGCGUAGGCGGCGCGAGCAGUCGGCGGUGAAAGCCCGGAGCUCAACUCCGGGUCGGCCGUCGAUACUCUCGUGCUCGAGCACUGUAGAGGCAGGUGGAAUUCCGGGUGUAGCGGUGGAAUGCGUAGAGAUCCGGAAGAACACCGGUGGCGAAGGCGGCCUGCUGGGCAGUAGCUGACGCUGAGGCGCGACAGCGUGGGGAGCAAACAGG
rnacentral:rRNA from 1 species